AUUUUAUUUUGUUAUUUUAUAGAGAGGAGUAAUGUAUUUUAUAUAAAAUGUAUUUGUUUUAAUUUUAUUUGUUUUAGAUUAUUAAUUAUAUAUAAUUAUAGUGAAUUAAAGUAUUGUUAAAGAAUUUAUAUAAAAUUGUAAUAGAAUUAAUUAAUAUUUUUACCUUUUGUAUCAGGGAUGAAUAAUUAAUAUUUUUAUUUACAAUUUCUCGAAGUAAAAUUGAGCUAAUUUAUUUUAUACCUUAUUGUUUCAUUAAUAAUUAUUAAUCUAAAUUAGAUGUUAUAUGCUAAUCGUAAUUUAGGAUAUCUAGUUUUGUAUUAUUUAAAGUUUAUCUUUAUAAAAUUUUUAAGGGAUGAGUUUUAAUUUAUUUUAUAAUUAAAUUAUUGUAAAACUUAUUAUUGAAUUGAUAGUAUUAAUUAAUUUAAAUGUGUUCAUACUUAUGCUAAUAUAUAAUUAUAUUUAUUUUAUAUAAAAUAUUAUCAUUAAUUUUUAAUGAUAAGUAAAAAUGUUUAUAUUAGUAUAAUAUUAAUUUUAAAAGAAUUAAUUUAGUUAAUUUAAAUAAAGGAAUUCGGCAAAUAUUUUGUCCGCCUGUUUAUCAAAAACAUGUCCUAAUGACCUAAAUUUAUAUUAGGUCAGACCUGCCCAAUGAAGUUAUUUUAAAUGGCCGCAGUAAACUGACUGUGCAAAGGUAGCAUAAUAAUUUGUCUUUUAAUUGGAGACUGGAAUGAAUGGUUUAACGUGACGAAAGCUGUCUUUAUUUUUAUUUUUGAAAUUUACUUUUAAGUUAAAAGGCUUAUAAAUGUUUUUAAGGGACGAGAAGACCCCAUCAAGUUUAACAAUUUAAUUUUUAGUAAUCAUUAACUAUUUAUCAUAAUUGUUUUUCUGGGGCGGAAGUAAUAGUUUAUCUUUUAUUAAUUAUAAUAAUUAAUAAAUUUAUUAACAAAACUCUUACUAAGAAAUUAAAAUAAAAUUACUGUGGGGGUAACAGCGUUAUUCUUUUGGAGAGUUCAUAUUAAUAAAAGAGAUUGCGACCUCGAUGUUGGAUUAAAUUUUCCCCAUAAUGAAGAAGUUAUGAAGGUAAGUCUGUUCGACUUAUUAAAAAUUACAUGAUCUGAGUUCAGACCGGCGUAAGCCAGGUUAGUUUCUAUCUUUAAUAUAUUAAUGUAAUAUAUUUAUUUAGUACGAAAGGACCUAUAAAAUUAAAUUAUUUAAAUUU
rnacentral:rRNA from 1 species